rnacentral:rRNA from 1 species
UACGUAGGGUCCGAGCGUUGUCCGGAGUUACUGGGCGUAAAGCGCGCGCAGGCGGCGGUACUGGCCCGGCGUGAAAGCCCCCGGCUCAACCGGGGAGGGUCGUCGGGGACCGCACCGCUUGAGGGCGGUAGGGGCUGGUGGAAUGCCUGGUGUAGUGGUGAAAUGCGUAGAGAUCAGGCGGAACACCCGUGGCGAAGGCGGCCAGCUGGGCCGUCCCUGACGCUGAGGCGCGAAGGCGUGGGGAGCGAACGGG